rnacentral:rRNA from 1 species
AAUGAACGUUGGCGGCGUGGAUUAGGCAUGCAAGUCGAGCGCGAACCCCGCAAGGGGUGAAAGCGGCGAAAGGGAAAGUAACGCGUGGGUAUCUGCCCUCGGGACUGGGAUAGCUGCGGGAAACUGCAGGUAAUACCAGAUGACGUCCCCGGACCAAAGGUGUGAUUCCGCCUGAGGAUGAGCCCGCGUCCUAUUAGCUAGUUGGUAGGGUAAUGGCCUACCAAGGCAAUGAUGGGUACUGGGUGUGAGAGCACGACCCAGCUCACUGGGACUGAGACACUGCCCAGACACCUACGGGUGGCUGCAGUCGAGAAUCUUCGGCAAUGGGCGAAAGCCUGACCGAGCGACGCCGCGUGUGGGAUGAAGGCCUUCGGGUUGUAGACCGCUGUCAGAGGGGAGGAAUGGGCGGAGGGUAAUCUCUUCGUUUUGACCUAUCCUCAGAGGAAGUACGGGCUAAGUUCGUGCCAGCCGCCGCAGUAA